rnacentral:rRNA from 1 species
UACGGAGGGAGCUAGCGUUGUUCGGAAUUACUGGGCGUAAAGCGCACGUAGGCGGCUUUGUAAGUUAGAGGUGAAAGCCCGGGGCUCAACCCCGGAAUUGCCUUUAAGACUGCAUCGCUUGAAUCCGGGAGAGGUGAGUGGAAUUCCGAGUGUAGAGGUGAAAUUCGUAGAUAUUCGGAAGAACACCAGUGGCGAAGGCGGCUCACUGGACCGGUAUUGACGCUGGAGGUGCGAAAGCGUGGGGAGCAAACAGG